GUACACUUGUGAAAGAGUGAAAAGGAGCAAAUAACGCCUUAGUAUGAUUAUGAAAAACGUUUUGACUUCACAGUGCCCUGAAUGGGUCUCGGGAACCUCCAGGGAUCCCUCAGGCACACUUUGAGAACCAAUCUAUAUAAAGUGAUGGUUCACAAUGAUUCUCAAGCCUUAGUUUCAGAAUCAUUUGGGGCAGCUUUUCAAAAAUGCUAUUCCUGCCACCUACCACAAGGAUUCUGAUUCAUUGUGUCUGUGAUGGGUCUCAGAUCUCUGCAUUUUUAAUCUUACGUGAUUCUUAAGUAUGAGGUAGAAGUACCUUUCUUCAGGAAAUUCUGUUCUAAGCUUUUACCCUGAGAAAAUAAAACCUGCAUGCUUUCACCAGGGACAGUGGAAGACUCCACUGAAACAGAUCUGCUAGACCACUAAGUUUAUCCUUGUCACCCAGUUUGCUCUUGGAAAGAGUCUGUUACCUUUUGUCGCUGAACCAAUCAUGACAUAAACUUGUGCUUUACCUCCUGUAGCACAGCCAAGACAAGGCUGGAACAUUUAAUUAAGGUUUUUACUAAGGACUCAGGAAUAGCAACAGGGAAAUAUCUAUGUAACUAAAUGACCUGACAUAAAAUCUAUCUUCUGAUUACAGUCUAUUGUGAGAAUGCUGCUUUUCCUAGCUCCCAGCCUGCCUUAGGGCAGAAGGCUGUCUUUUUAUUAGGAAAAGAGGGAGGACAAAGGAGAGCCUUUUCCUUUUGUCCGUUACUCUUAGAAAUGAAUAGGUACAUAAUAGAAAAUAAAUAUUUAUUGUUGGUAAUGUUUACACAGCAAUGUUAGAGCCUCUCUGUAGUGAAACAAAAAUAAUAUUCUUACCAAAAAUUAAAAAUUAAAAAAUGAGGCAAUGGUAAAAAUCAAUGAACUUAUCUUUCUGAUAUAGAAAAUAACACGAUGAUUGUUAAUACGUGUUCAGGAAUCUAAGAAAAUGUUUCAUACAGGCCUAUCAUGUAGCAUUUUUAUUUGCAUAAUUAUGGUCAACAUAUGAUUCUCCAUAUAGGGGUCUCAUUGAGCAUGUUUCUUGUGUACCAAUAGAAAAGCCUCUUUGGUAGAUUUUCCGGUUUAUAAUUAUUUAACCAGAAGAUACACAGGAGGUUCUAUUGUAUGUACCUGUAGAAUACAUCCCAGUAAGGGUCCUAUGGAGAAAGACCUGUCGUCAGCAAUAACCUUCAUUAUUCUAACUGUGAAACGUUCAUUAAUGUGAAUAAUAUUCUCAAAGGUUCUCUACAAUGAGAAUCAUCCAGUAAAGCUUUUUACCUGACAAUUUAAAAGUUGUAAAGUUGUUAGUUAAAUAUGUAGAAUUAUCAAAAGAGAUUGACUUUGGAAAACAAACUGAAUUUGCUAAGGGAAGGAAAACUUGAAAAUAAUCAUCUUAGAUGUGGAAUACAAUUUGACCUAAGCAAUUGUUUCAAAACUGUCUUCAGUUUCUUGAAAAAAAUUGUUAGGGAUGAUAUAUAGAAAUACAUAUCUAGGCCAGGCACGGUGGCUUAUGCCUGCAGUCCCAGCCCUUUGGGAGGCCGAAGUGGAUGGAUCACGAGAUCAAGAGAUCGAGACCAUCCUGGUCAACAUGGUGAAACCCUGUCUCUACUAAAAAUACAAAAAUCAGCUGGGCGUAGUGGUGCGUGCCUGUAGUCCCAGCUACUCAGGAGGCUGAGGCAGGAGAAUCACUUGAGCGCCGGAGGCAGAGGGUGCAGUGAGCCGAGAUCGCGCCACUGCACUCCAGCCUGGGCAACAGAGCAAGACUCGUCGCAAAAAAAAAAGAAAAAAGAAAUACAUAUCUAAUGUUACAGAUUCUGGUUUAUUGGUUAAUUACUAUGCAUUUUUUUCCGUUUAAAAAAUAAUCUUAUUUUAUAUACUUCUCUCAGUAUAAUUUUUCAUGACAUUUCAGCAUGUUGAUAAUAUGUGUGCAUCUAUUUCAGUGCCUUAAAGUAUUUUCAGAGCAAUCUUUUGCUGACAGUUAAAGAACUGUUAAGAAUGAAAUACUGUUCAUUAAAAGGAUCUGUGAAAUCAUUUACCCUUGUUAUAAAAUAGUUAUAUGCAAA